AAUAAGCUAGGUAAGGGGCAGCUUAUUGCAGUUUAUUCUAGAAGCCACCAAAAGAACAGGCCCGAAGGCAGGGGAGGGACGAGAGGAGGUCUAGCACGGGAGCCCGCUGGUCCAAGGUUGCUGCGGCCGGAGUCGCUGGCGUCGAGAUGCCCGCCGGCGAGGGCAAGGAUCCAGGGUCGUCACGCGCAGAGGAGCAGGAUGUUAAAGGAGAUGAUGAAGAGAAUAAGGGAGGCAUUGAUCAACCCGAGGGCCCAACAGUUGAUAAAGAGAAGAAUGACACACAACUGCAAGUCAGAUCUUGAAGAUUGACGAAGAUACAGUGGAUGCCGAAAGCGAACAGUACCACGGGAAUGAUGACCUAACUGAAACCGAUGUGUCCAACGACCUACUUUGUGCUGGAGUAAAUUUUUUGAUUGUGAAGAGCUUUAAAAGGAAGCAAAGACGGACCAUUGUACGAAAGGGGAGCAUAAAGAGACCAAGACUAACUGAAGCGACUUCACAUGAUGAUUUUGGCGAUGCAGUAUGUAAAGCAUAUAGUAGGUGCAGCAUACCAUAUUUCUCCGAGGUCGUGAAUAGCAUUUGCAAGAGCAAGAACAAAGUGGACUUAGUCAGGUCUACUGGUUUUGGUUACAUGCUGGAGUUAGAUGAUUGUCUUGUGCCUAGGCCGUUUGCUCAGUGGAUAGCAGACAAGGUCAUUGUUGACGAUGAAGCAAUUUUCAUCAACAAGAAGCGCAUACCACUGAAUGCACUGGGUGUUCUGCA